rnacentral:rRNA from 1 species
AUUUAUGGCUCCACCGGCUUGAGAGUGCUGAUCCCAUCAGAUUUUAGACGCUCAGCAGGUUGUGGCUGGUUAGCACUUGGAUGGGAAACUAUGAGCAAAGACACGGUGCCUGUGUG